UACGGGGGGAGCAAGCGUUGUUCGGAUUUACUGGGCGUAAAGAGCUCGUAGACGGUUCGAUAAGUCGGGUGUGAAACCUCCAGGCUCAACCUGGGGACGCCACCCGAUACUGUCGUGACUAGAGUCCAGUAGGGGAGCGUGGAAUUCCUGGUGUAGCGGUGAAAUGCGCAGAUAUCAGGAGGAACACCAGCGGCGAAGGCGGCGCUCUGGGCUGGCACUGACGCUGAGGAGCGAAAGCGUGGGGAGCGAACAGG
rnacentral:rRNA from 1 species